rnacentral:rRNA from 1 species
CUACGGGAUGCUCCAGUGAGGAAUAUUGCACAAUGGGGGGAACCCUGAUGCAGCAACGCCGCGUGGAGGAUGACGCAUUUCGGUGUGUAAACUCCUUUUAUAUGUCAAGAAAAUGACGGUAGCAUAUGAAUAAGCACCGGCUAACUCCGUGCCAGCAGCCGCGGUAAUACGGAGGGUGCAAGCGUUACUCGGAAUCAUUGGGCUGAAGGACGCGUAGGCGGGUUGGAAAGUCAGGUGUGAAAUCCUACAGCUUAACUGUAGAACUGCACUUGAAACUUCUAAUCUAGAGUAUGGGAGGGGGAGAUGGAAUUAGUGGUGUAGGGGUAAAAUCCGUAGAUAUCACUAGGAAUACCUAAAGCGAAGGCGAUCUCCUGGAACAUUACUGACGCUAAGGCGUGAAAGCGUGGGGAGCAAACAGGAUUAGAUACCCCCGUAGUC